rnacentral:tRNA from 1 species
UAGGAUUUAGUUAAAUACAUAAUAUCAAUCUGUCUAAUUGAAGUGGUGGGUUAUCAAUUCCCACAGUCCUAU